rnacentral:tRNA from 1 species
AGCUCAGUGGUUAGAGCAGGCGACUCAUAAUCGCUUGGUCGUUGGUUCAAACCCAACA